UGACGACGAGACGCUAACGCGUUGAAGCAGUGUACGUCAGACUUCCAAGAAAAGCUCGCAAUGUCAUAAAUAAAAAUGCCUGUACCAUAACCGACACAGGUGGGUAGGUAGAGUAUACUAAGGGGCGCGAGAUAACUCUCUCUAAGGAACUCGGCAAAAUGACUCCGUAACUUCGGGAGAAGGAGUGCCUUAUUUAUAAGGUUGCAAUAACAAGAUCCAAGCAACUGUUUAUCAAAAACACAGGUCUCCGCUAAGUCGUAAGACGAUGUAUGGGGGCUGACGCCUGCCCAGUGCCAGAAGGUUAAAGAAGUUGGUUAGUGUAUGCGAAGCUGAUGACUGAAGCCCUGGUGAACGGCGGCCGUAACGAUAACGGUCCUAAGGUAGCGAAAUUCCUUGUCGGGUAAGUUCCGACCCGCACGAAAGGCGUAAUGAUUUGGAUACUGUCUCGGAGAGAGGCUCGGUGAAAUAGACUUGUCUGUGAAGAUGCGGACUACCUGCACCAGGACAGAAAGACCCUAUGAAGCUUUACUGUAACUUGAAAUUGGAAUUGGACUUUGCUUGCGCAGUAUAGGUGGGAAGCGUUGAAGAUAUUCUUGCGGGAGUAUUGGAGCUAUCAGUGAGAUACCACUCUUGUAAUAUUAGAUUUCUAACUUUGAACCAUAAUCUGGUCAAAGAACAGUUUCAGGUGGGCAGUUUGACUGGGGCGGUCGCCUCCCAAAUGGUAACGGAGGCGUACAAAGGUUUCCUCUGAACGGAUAGAAAUCGUAUCUAGAGUGUAAAGGCAUAAGGAAGCUUGACUGUGAGACCUACAAGUCGAGCAGGGACGAAAGUCGGUCUUAGUGAUCUGACGGUACUGAGUGGAAAGGCCGUCACUCAACGGAUAAAAGUUACUCUAGGGAUAACAGGCUGAUCUCCCCCAAGAGUUCACAUCGACGGGGAGGUUUGGCACCUCGAUGUCGGCUCAUCGCAUCCUGGGGCGGUAGUACGUCCCAAGGGUUGGGCUGUUCGCCCAUGAAAGCGGUACGCGAGCUGGGUUCAGAACGUCGUGAGACAGUUCGGUCCAUAUCCGGUGUAGGCGUUAGAAUAUUGAGAGGAGCCUUCUUUAGUACGAGAGGACCGAGAAGGACACACCGCUGGUGUACCAGUUAUCGUGCCAACGGUAAACGCUGGGUAGCUAUGUGUGGAGUGGAUAACCGCUGAAAGCAUCUAAGUGGGAAGCCCACCUCAAGAUGAGUAUUCUC
rnacentral:rRNA from 1 species